rnacentral:rRNA from 1 species
AUUGAACGCUGGCGGCAGGCCUAACACAUGCAAGUCGAGCGGAUGAAGGGAGCUUGCUCCUGGAUUCAGCGGCGGACGGGUGAGUAAUGCCUAGGAAUCUGCCUGGUAGUGGUGGAUAACGUCCGAAAACGGGCGCUAAUACCGCAUACGUCCUGAGGGAGAAAGUGGGGGAUCUUCGGACCUCACGCUAUCAGAUGAGCCUAGGUCGGAUUAGCUAGUUGGUGUGGUAAAGGCCUACCAAGGCGACGAUCCGUAACUGGUCUGAGAGGAUGAUCAGUCACACUGGAACUGAGACACGGUCCAGACUCCUACGGGAGGCAGCAGUGGGGAAUAUUGGACAAUGGGCGAAAGCAUGAUACAGCCAUGCCGCGUGUGUGAAGAAGGUCUUCGGAUUGUAAAGCACUUUAAGUUGGGAGGAAGGGAAGUAAGUUAAUACCUUGCUGUUUUGACGUUACCAACAGAAUAAGCACCGGCUAACUUCGUG